AUUGAACGCUAGCGGGAUGCCUUACACAUGCAAGUCGAACGGAGUGGCGAACGGGUGAGUAAUGCCUAGGAAUCUGCCUGGUAGUGGGGGAUAACGUCCGGAAACGGGCGCUAAUACCGCAUACUAUCAGAUUAGCCUAGGUCGGAUUAGCUAGUGGGGGGGGUAAAGGCCUACCAAGGCGACGAUCCGGAACUGGUCUGAGAGGAUGAUCAGUCACACUGGAACUGAGACACGGUCCAGACUCCUACGGGAGGCAGCAGUGGGGAAUAUUGGACAAUGGGCGAAAGCCUGAUCCAGCCAUGCCGCGUGUGUGAAGAAGGUCUUCGGAUUGUAAAGCACUUUAAGUUGGGAGGCGUUACCAACAGAAUAAGCACCGGCUAACUUCGUGCCAGCAGCCGCGGUAAUAC
rnacentral:rRNA from 1 species